GAUGGAUUGUAAGAAAGAUAAAUCUUCAUCUUCCAUCACAGUGAGAAAGUGGAGUUCGAAGAUGUCAUCAGCCCAGGUCACACAGAUGGUGGAGACCAGUGUGGAGCCCGGGAGUGGGCUGAGCAGAGCAUCUGGACUUUGAGCUUCCAUCAGACCCUGAGAUAGUCACCUGUCCUGGCUGCCUGGUGACCCUGGUGUGCUAACGUGGCACUUAUCUUGCUCUAUGGAGGCCCCUGGGCCCCCUAAACACCAGGCUAGAUCUAGAAAAUGCCACGCAUUUCUGCCUUGCUCUCC
rnacentral:lncRNA from 1 species